UGCUAUUCUUGAGUGCAGUUGAGGUAGNCGGAAUGUGUAAUUUAGCGGUGAAAUGCUUAGAUAUUACACAGAACCCCGAUUGCGUAGGCAGCUUACUAAACUGUAACUGACGCUGAGGCACGAAAGCGUGGGGAGCGUACAGGAUUAGAUACCCUGGUAGUCCACGCUGUAAACUAUGAUCACUCGCUGUUGGCGAUACAUUGUCAGCGGCUGAGCGAAAGCAUUAAGUGAUCCACCUGGGGAGUACGGCCGCAAGGUUGAAACUCAAAGGAAUUGACGGGGGCCCGCACAAGCGGUGGAACAUGUGGUUUAAUUCGAUGAUACGCGAGGAACCUUACCUGGGCUUAAAUGCAGAACGACGUACCGGGAAACUGGUACUCCCUUCGGGGCGGACUGCAAGGUGCUGCAUGGUUGUCGUCAGCUCGUGCCGUGAGGUGUCGGGUUAAGUCCCAUAACGAGCGCAACCCUCAUUGUUAGUUGCCAGCGAGUAAUGUCGGGGACUCUAACGAAACUGCCGNUGUACACCGUGAGGAAGGUGGGGAUGACGUCAAAUCAGCACGGCCCUUAUGUCCAGGGCUACACACGUGUACCAAUGGCCAGUACAAAGGGCAGCUACCACGCGAGUGGAUGCUAAUCUCUAAAGCUGGUCUCAGUUCGGAUUGAAGUCUGCAACUCGACUUCAUGAAGCUGGAAUCGCUAGUAUNCGCGCAUCAGCCAUGGCGCGGCUGAUACGUUCCCNGGNCCUGUACACACCGCCCG
rnacentral:rRNA from 1 species